rnacentral:rRNA from 1 species
GGGGGAGGUCGGACUGGGGCGGGCGCCGCCCAUCACGUAACGGAGGCGAGCAAAGGUGCUCUCAGCAAGGACGGAAAUCGUGAGUAGAGUGUAAAGGCAAAAGGGGGCGUGAUUGGAAGACAUACAGGUCGGGGAAGGAUGAAAAGCGGGCUUAGUGGUCCGGUGGUUCUGCGUGGAAGGGCCAUCGCUCAACGGAUAAAAGCUACCCUGGGGAUAACAGGCUUAGCUCCCCCAAGAGUCCACAUCGACGGGGAGGUUUGGCACCUCGAUGUCGGCUCAUCACAUCCUGGGGCUGUAGUAGGUCCCAAGGGUUGGGCUGUUCGCCCAUUAAAGUGGUACGCGAGCUGGGUUCA